rnacentral:rRNA from 1 species
CGCGGCCUAUCAGCUUGUUGGUGAGGUAACGGCUCACCAAGGCAGCGACGGGUAGCUGGUCUGAGAGGACGAUCAGCCACACUGGGACUGAGACACUGCCCAGACUCCUACGGGAGGCAGCAGCAGGGAAUAUUGCACAAUGGGCGAAAGCCUGAUGCAGCGACGCCGCGUGAGGGAUGAAUGCCUUCGGGUUGUAAACCUCUUUCAGGAGGGACGAAGCGAAAGUGACGGUACCUCCAGAAGAAGCCCCGGCCAACUACGUGCCAGCAGCCGCGGUAAUACGUAGGGGGCGAACGUUGUCCGGAUUUAUUGGGCGUAAAGAGCUCGUAGGCGGCUCAGCAAGUCGGCCGUGAAAGCCUGAGGCUCAACCUCAGGAGGCCGGUCGAAACUGCUGUGGCUAGGGUCCGGUAGAGGAGAGUGGAAUUCCCGGUGUAGCGGUGAAAUGCGCAGAUAUCGGGAGGAACACCAGUAGCGAAGGCGGCUCUCUGGGCCGGUACCGACGCUGAGGAGCGAAAGCUAGGGGAGCAAACAGGAUUAGAUACCCUGGUAGUCCUAGCCGUAAACGUUGGGCACUAGGUGUGGCGGAUUCAUUGACAUCUGCCGUGCCGAAGCUAACGCAUUAAGUGCCCCGCCUGGGGAGUACGG